UACGUAGGGGGCUAGCGUUGUCCGGCUUUAUUGGGCGUAAAGAGCGUGUAGGCGGCCAGGUAGGUCCGUUGUGAAAACUCGAGGCUCAACCUCGAGACGUCGGCGGAAACCCUCUGGCUAGAGUCCGGAAGAGGAGAGUGGAAUUCCUGGUGUAGCGGUGAAAUGCGCAGAUAUCAGGAAGAACACCCGUGGCGAAGGCGGCUCUCUGGGACGGUACUGACGCUGAGACGCGAAAGCGUGGGGAGCAAACAGG
rnacentral:rRNA from 1 species